rnacentral:rRNA from 1 species
AUACGGAGGGUGCAAGCGUUAAUCGGAAUUACUGGGCGUAAAGCGCGCGUAGGCGGUUUGGUAAGUCGGAUGUGAAAGCCCCGGGCUCAACCUGGGAAUUGCAUUCGAUACUGUCAGGCUAGAGUAUGGUAGAGGGAAGCGGAAUUCCAGGUGUAGCGGUGAAAUGCGUAGAUAUCUGGAGGAACAUCAGUGGCGAAGGCGGCUUCCUGGAUCAAUACUGACGCUGAGGUGCGAAAGCGUGGGGAGCAAACAGGAUUAGAAACCCGUGUAGUCC